CCCCUCCAUCUCCAUCACCUCCCCCUCCUUAUAUUUACAAGUCACCACCUCCUCCUUCUCCAUCCCCACCUCCUCCUUACAUUUAUAAAUCACCACCACCUCCCUCACCAUCACCUCCUCCACCGUAUGUGUACAAGUCACCUCCUCCUCCAUCACCAUCACCUCCUCCACCUUACAUCUACAAGUCACCACCACCACCAUCUCCGUCACCUCCUCCUCCUUAUGUAUAUAAAUCACCACCACCACCUUCUCCAUCACCCCCACCUCCAUACGUUUACAAGUCACCACCACCCCCAUCUCCAUCACCACCUCCUCCAUACGUUUACAAGUCACCACCACCACCAUCUCCACCACCACCACCUCCAUAUGUUUACAAGUCACCACCACCUCCAUCCCCAUCCCCACCUCCUCCUUACGUCUACAAGUCACCGCCUCCACCAUCUCCUUCACCUCCUACACCAUAUUAUUACACGUCACCUCCACCACCCACUCAUUACUAAACAAAUUGAAUUUCUCUUCUCUUCAUGUUAUAGAUUGGUAAAACAAACAAUUGCUGCAAGAGAGAGUUUUAUCCUGGUGACUUCGAUGCAUCUGAUCAAUCUAAAAUGCGCCCUGAAAACUGCGCUUGAGAAUAAGAGGCUUAGCAUGGACGUUGUCUUUGCAGCUUUCAUGCAACUUAUGGUUUAAUUAUUUACUUUUGUUGUCAUACACGAGAUAGGUUACUUGUGAUUUCUUUAUGUGGGCCAUUUUGGUUACAUACGCUGAAAUUUGUUGUAUCAAUUGAAUAAACAUCUGUUCAUUCUGUAUAAUUUAUUAAAAGCCUUGAAUAUUCAGAAA